rnacentral:tmRNA from 1 species
UCUGGCUUCGACGCUGGUGAUGAAACUCAUAGAUGCAUGUCGAGAGCGCAUUUUCUCUCGUAAAUCAAAUUUGCAUUUUUUAGUCGCAAACGACGAAUCAUACGCUCUAGCUGCCUAAGGGCAGCUUGUCCGCCUCUCCGAAUACUUGUGGUUAGAGAGUCCGACUGAAGCGCACGCACACAAGUCCGUAUAAAACCAAGCCUCGGGGUUUUGUACUAAAUUAAGAGGAUCGCGAUUUGUACCCUGUUCGUCGGGUCACAAAGAGUNUGCUUUGUGUGGGUAAAAAUUGGCAAAAUUUACCCAGAAAUUAACACAACAAAUUCUGGUUAAAGAUAUGUCACUCACAGAU